rnacentral:rRNA from 1 species
ACGGAAGGCAGCAGUGGGGAAUAUUGGGCAAUGGGCGCAAGCCUGACCCAGCAACGCCGCGUGAAGGAAGAAGGCUUUCGGGUUGUAAACUUCUUUUGUCAGGGAAGAGUAGAAGACUGUACCUGGCGAAUAAGCCACGGCUAACUACGUGCCAGCAGCCGCGGUAAUACGUAGGGAGCAAGCGUUAUCCGGAAUUACUGGGUGUAAAGGGAGUGUAGGCGGGACUGUAAGUCAGAUGUGAAAUAUGCCGGCUCAACUGGCAGACUGCAUUUGAAACUGCGGUUCUUGAGUGAAGUAGAGGUAAGCGGAAUUCCUAGUGUAGCGGUGAAAUGCGUAGAUAUUAGGAGGAACAUCAGUGGCGAAGGCGGCUUACUGGGCUUUAACUGACGCUGAGGCUCGAAAGCGUGGGGAGCAAACAGGAUUAGAUACCCUGGUA